AGAGGGAGCAAGAGGAGCAAAGGCAUGGAGGGAAGAGGGCCUGGCAUUGUCAGGGAAUGUGACUAGCUGAGUCUGGUGGGAGCAAACAGGCCCAGGAGGUGGUUAGUGGAGGGACAGGCUGAGAGAGGGGCAGGGGCCAGCUCUUGGGCUUCUCUCUGAGUUGGUGAGCCACAGCUGAGGUGGGGACACUGUGCUAUGCCAUCACAGCACAGCCAGCCUCUCUGGAGAUGAGCUAAAUCUGGUGCCACACUGUCUUCACCCUGCAAAGCCCGAGCUACUCCAUGUCCUGGCAGGGGGCCAUGUUAGGGCUGGCCACCUGGGGUGUAACUGAGCCCAGAAACACCCAGCAGCAGGGUGGAGUCAGAACCGCACCUCUGACACUAGCCGCAGGUCUUUGGUUGAGCUCUUAACCUCCCUGGGCCUCAGUUUGUGAAAGGGAACCUGGCAGCAACAUGGCUGCCUUAUAGAACUGUGAGAAUUCGCUGCCUAACACAGUAACCUGUCUCAAAACAUUUACACCCUCCUUUUUGCGUUUGGGAUCCUGGAACGUGGUGAUGUUC
rnacentral:sRNA from 1 species